UGUCAGAUGCACAUUUCAGUGUGGAUCUCUGUUCCUUGGGAGAGGGAUAGGCAGCAAUCUCCCAUUCUGGGAGAGACAGAGUAGCUGGCAGAUGCACAUUGAUUAAAAAUGGGAAGGAGAAUGUGUAAAAAAUAAAAUAUAUAUCUAUAUCUAUAUACCCAAACUAAUUUGCCUAAAUUAUUAAAUUAGAGCCCUAGGGAACUGCAUUUUCAUAAUCUGUUUACUAAAUGGCAGUAAUCAUCAAAAUAUUGUACAGAAAGGAUAUUAAAGGAAAGGUUAAUGAAUACAGCAUCUGGAGGAUUCAACCAUAAUGGGCUUACAUUGUCUCCUAUUGUGCCCAGGCUUUCUGAUAUAUGCUUGGGAAAGGGGGGGGCAGUGUUUAUUUUGUGAUGUUUUACUUUGUUGAAGCAAGCUUUGGAGUUGCAUUGAUUUUAAAGUUUUAAAAGAUACAUUGUGUGCCCAAAUAAGACAUAUAUACUGAUCUCUAAAUAGGAAGUAGAAAUUUGGGCAUUUUGUAGUCAAAUAGGAAUGCAAGAUAAUGCUUUGAUUAUGAUAAUUUAUACAGAGGAGCUAAAUAUGUUAUAAUACUGGCAAUCAGACAAAAAUGUGAUUUUAAAGCCAAUUAUAAAUGAUUUGUAUUUCUCUUUUAAAACUCUCAAAAAUGCAAUCUUCAACUACAUUUGACAUAAUCAUUGCAAUACUUUAAAAAGUUAUUAAGCUACAAAAACACACACACACUUAAAUAUUUUCCUUCUCUUGCCAAGGUCUACCCCAUUACAUUUAUCUGAAUGGAAUAAAGCCUGUGUUGAAUAAAACAUACAACACUCCAAUCUAUUUUUGAAUUCAGAGUUUCUUUUUCAAAAGCUUACAACUAUCCUUAUUCUCUGGGAAGAAAAACCUUGAGCUGAACACAGCAAAGGUGGAAAAUAUUAUAGGAGUUUGGGAAUUAACUUGAUAAACUACUCUGCCUUUGCCUUGUGGUCCUUUCACAAAGUUGUAAAGACUUGGGAGAUUAAAUUCUGGGGACUUAAUAAACAGCAGCUCUGUGUGGAGAUCCAGACACUGGCCUAUUAGUCAAAAUGUACUUUAGGCCAAAGUGAAAACCUCUGCUCAUUUAUUUCUGCCUCAAAACAUAGGAGUUCAGAUGGAAAUGUAUAGAGGGGGUGGGGAAGAUCCAUUGUCAUGCAAAGUGACACAAGACUGAAUUACAGAUCAGAAAGAUGAAUUUGGACAAUGGGAAUGCCAACUUUGGUUUUUUUCAUGAUUAAUGGUAAAGGUAAGGCCCAAUAAUUGCUAAGGAGAUAUGAGUCGUGAAUAAAAGAAUUAUUUAUGAAGUAAAAUCUGCUUAGGCAUAUAACAUGUAUAAAUUAUAUUCCUCUGAAAAUUUAAUGCGAUAAAUAGCCAAGAUCAAGCAGAGAGGCACUCUGUGAUAGAAAUCUGACUGUGUGGUUUAGGUCACUCAGCAACACCUUCUAAAUUCCUAACCCUAACCCUUUAUGAAAGGAGGUUUAACAUCUCCUGUUCGUAAGACUUCUAUACAAGGCAACGUGUUUUCUCCUUUGAGUAGCUACUCUUCCCUAAGGUUGGGUGAGUAUUCAGGUCACUCCACAAUUAGGAGCGAAUCCCCCCCCCCAUCUAAUGGAUCAUGCUUGGAUCAGGACAGAGAUAUAUGGAUUAUAUCACAUGACUAUGAACCUUCCCAAGCAUGAUUUGCUACUACUUACAGAUACUUACAUUCUAUCCUGUAUUCAUCAUAUGCAAUGUUGUUUCCAUUCCCCUGCAGAUCAACUCCCACCAAAAACUACAUUAUAUCCUGGUUCCCACUAAAGGAAGAACUGGAACUGAAUGGAAGAUUCUUCCCAAAUGCUUUUAUGCUCAAGUCACUGCAAUACAUAUGCAAAAACACAGUUCAAAAGCUCAGCAGGCAAUACACAUCUCUACUCAAGGCAUGGAUAAACAAAGGCACAGCAGGUGAUAUGACUACUCAAAGCAAGGACACAUCUCCUGCAAUCCCGUUAUAAAGGAAUGGGGCAGGCACAGCUUAACACGGCAAAUGUUUCUGUUCCUUAGCAAGCAAUCCGGUACUCCACAUUGUAGGCUGGACCUGAAC
rnacentral:lncRNA from 1 species